CGGAGCAAAGCAUACUUACCUGGCGUAGAGGUUAACCGUGAUCACGAAGGCGGUUCCUCCGGAGUGAGGCUUGGCCAUUGCACUUCGGCUGAGUUGACCUCUGCGAUUAUUCCUAAUGUGAAUAACUCGUGCGUGUAAUUUUUGGUAGCCGGGAAUGGCGUUCGCGCCGUCCCGACAUAAAUAAUAUCAGAACAGGAGAAAAAUUGAGGAUGAAAAUUUGUAUGCCAAAUGUUGAAUCAUCAGACCUGAGUUCAAAUCCCACUCAUGACCAACACCAACUGAUUUUAGUGGCUUAUUUUUGAAUUUUGGCCAGAUAUUGAAUCUGUUUUUUUUUUUAUUUGAAUUUAAUGCGCUCGUGUUUUUAUUUUCUUCUUUCUAUAAAUGCUAAGGAAUCUGGUUACCUCGCUGACUUCCAAUAAUCUCUAAUAUAAACAAUUUCCUAAACGCAAUUAAAUAACAUUUGUUUGGCAUUUUAAGUUUUGAUGUAAAAAAUCGACAAAAAUAUUUUGACACUGACGCAAUUCCCUGACUAAACUAAACAAAAAAACCCUAAAACUAAAUCUUUCGCUAUGAAAUCCUGAACAAGGGAGCAUUCUGAUGAAUCGAUAUUUUCUGUGAUAGAAGGCAAUGGAUUCCAUCACCAAAACCGUAUCAGCCGUGACCGUGACCAACACGAUUUCAUCAAUGGGUAUUAUUAAACUUCAUUCUAGGCAGCCAACACAAAAUAAUGCUCCAAUGGCUCUAAGAAACUAGCCACCACCUGACUUUCCUGACUUGAAUGGAUGGCACAAGAAUGGUCGGCGUUUGUUUGGACUUCAGUCUUCGAGGCUCAGUUAGAGCAGAAGACGCUUCAUUGAAGCCAGUGAUCAGAGGACAAGAGACUGAGAGUCUUUCAUCCUUACAUCCUUACAAAUUUUAAACGUGUUGGGCAAACCCGUACUCAAUCGCACGAAACGCUGGACGAGCUAGCUCCUAACGGGGAAGAUUGCUUGGCAGAACUCCUCGUGCCCCAAGUUAAACGGAACGAACGGAUCUUGGUGGAUGACAGCCUUAAAAGCAAGCAUGGUCCAUGGUCCUACGAUUCGGAAAUGUUUCAAACGUAUCGGAACUUAUAAUAAUUUCGAAAUAUGUCCGCAGCUCGUAAAAUCUUAUUGAGAAAAUAAUCUCAAGGGGAACAGCAUCCCAGCCCCAUAGUUUCUUGAAUCAAUUGAUUAUACAUACAUCCUGAAUUCAAGGAAUUCUUUUGUCCACCCACAAUCGUCGACGAUGCUUUCCCAUAAAUCAAUAUACACUCGUUCUGUUUGUUUUUUUAUCGUGGAUGUGUGUAUUGCUAGAAAGUUAUUUUACAUUUUGUAUUUAUUAUGAACUAUUUUGUUGUUGGUUUUGUUUUGUUUGUUUCUCGUUUUGUUUUUUUGCUAGCGCAAUGCUGCGGCGCAACACUCGAUGAACACACAAGAGUGUUUAAUGCAUACAAAAUAAUAAUUAUAAUAAUACAAAUAAUCGUAAUACAUAAUAAUAAGAUGUAAGAUUAAUUAACAUAGUAAUGCAUAAUGCGAUUUGGGCAGAAAA